rnacentral:lncRNA from 1 species
GUAAUGGUAACACAUUGAAGGAUUUCGAGUCGAAACCCGGCUCCUUUCUCUGGGGGUAUCAAGGCAACGACGCUGAGUCUAAGUCUAAGGAGGAGAAGCCUCUUAUGAAAGGCUUUGAGUCAAAGCCCGGCUCCUUUCUUUGGGGGUAUCAGGGCAACGACGCUGAAUCUAAGUCUAAGGAGGAGAAGCCUCUUAUGAAAGGCUUUGAGUCGAAGCCCGGCUCCUUUCUCUGGGGAUAUCAAGGCAACGACGUUGAGUCUAAGUCUAAGGAGGAGAAGCCUCUUAUGAAAGACUUUGAGUCAAAGCCCGGCUCCUUUCUCUAGGGGUAUCAAGGUCCUCUUAUGAAAGACUUUGAGUCGAAACCUGGCUCCUUUCUCUGGGGGUAUUAAGGAAACGACGCUGAGUCUAAGUCUAAGGAGGAGAAGCCUCUUAUGAAAGACUUUGAGUCGAAGCCCGGCUCCUUUCUCUGGGGGUAUCAAGGCCCUCUUAUGAAAGACUUUGAGUCAAAGCCCGGCUCCUUUCUCUGGGGGUAUCAAGGCAAUGACGCUGAGUCUAAGUCUAAGGAGGAGAAGCCACUUAUGAAAGACUUUGAGUCGAAGCCCGGCUCCUUUCUCUGGGGGUAUCAAGGCAACCACGCUGAGUAUAAGGAGGAGAAACCACUCGUGAAAGAUAAUUAAUGUCCAGGGAAGCCGCAACUUUACCUCUGAAUGAGCUACGGACAUAUAUGUCUUCUGGCUGGUCUGAUUUUCUCCAUUUUCUUUAUUGGCAUGAAAAUGUGUGAUAUGUAAUAAAUGCAGUUCUUCUUUCAACCAAGCGUUCCGUAUAAUUAAUUAAAUGAAGUCAGUACCGUUGAGUGCAUUUUCUGUUUCUUUGUUUGUUGUUUCUUUUUGCCAUUGACGGGUUUUUACUUUAAGUGCAAGUUUAAUUCCGAUUUUACACCCGUUGGACUGCAAGUAUACAGGUCGCAAUUGUAGUACAAGAUGUGUAUCGGGUCGAUCCCACGAGGAGCAAUUUAAACAAUUACUAAGCCCUUAUUCUCUCUAUUAUUUAGACUUACAAUUAAUUUGAGCAGAGAAAGUCUAAUGCUGUAAUCUACAAAUCUGAUAUACAAAUCUAGUUUAACAAAUACUGAAUACAAAUAGAGAAAUUUUACUUAAGGAAGAUUCUAGGGAUGUAGAUUCCACUUAUGGCAUAAACUACACAAAUGAAUGGAUUUACUCCUUGCUAUUAUUCUUGCUUAACCAGAGAUUUAUUUCCAAGAAUACCAAGUCUCAUUUUCAUGAUGAAAUGGCUUAGAGCAAUAUAGAUUUCCCUAUUUUCAUGGUGAAAUAUUCUACUACUCCGUUUUAUUUCAUGAAAUGCUCAAUAAUCCACCUAAGUGUAUCUCUAUUUUCAUGAACAUACAACUCAAGCUCUACUCAUGUGUUUCAAUUGUUAUUACCAAUUCUCAUUGAAUAAUAACACUAUAAACAUGCUAUUGGUGAUCAAUCAAUAACAAGUAAUCACAGCUACACAAGUAGACAAGUUAAUACAAGAUAUAACAAGUGUAGAUCACAUUCAAUUAGUAUUAUUUAGCAAUAAGUUUCAUCUACUCCCUAGAUGAAGGAGUUUAGCUACUCAUGAAUGAUUUAACAAUCAAACUCACAAGUUUAUUAAUGCAAAACAUCAUAAAGUACAAGUAUGAGAAAGAUAAAAGAAAGCUUAGCCAAUUGAAGGUGAAGCUCUCCAAUUCCUGCUAUGUUCUUGCACAAUAUGAUUAUAAGUGAAACUCUCCAAAAAAAUGCUUCUCCAAGUACUCCUAUCUAGAGAGAAAAAAUGUUACAAAAUGAAAAACUAGCUACGUAUGGUCCUCUUGGCUUCUCCCCUGUGUUUCUACAUAAAAUGUGGUAGAAAUUCCAUUCCUCUCACUUCAUAAUUUCCUCCACUCAGAUUUUGUAAAAAGAAGUCAAAGAUAUGAUGUUUCCUUUUGUCCACACUCAUUUGGUCUUCUCUUUUGUUGCAGAAGCAUGUGCCACCGAUUUCUGUCCCUCAAAAUAGCUGGAAAAGUUGUGAGAAAGGUAAAGAAAAACGGCUGUACCACUUGCUGAAGAGAGAGACAGAUCCGAGCCUCGGAUCCGAGGGCUGAAAAUGGAUCCGAGCUCGGAUUAUAGGAUCCGAGGUCUUCCCUUGAUAGAUCCGAGGUCGGAUCGUCCUGACCUCGGAUACACUCCGCCAGAAGUACAGACGAGGGGUCGGAUCCCUCUUAUACACACGGAUCCGAGCUCGGAUCCGUGUUGAGCAAUUUUCCAGUUUUUCACUUCUUCCCUUUUUCUACAUUUUUGCUCCCAAUUUCUUGUAUACUUUGUCCUCUGGAUGACCCUGACAUUUCUUUCAACUUGUGCAUGAAUUUCAUACAUCAAUUACCUUCACAAUUUCACAAAAUUAACGCAUUAAUCCACUCAUUUAUCAAUUUCUUAACCCUUAAACAAUAUUUAAGCAAUUAUCACCAAAAGAGUUCAAAUAUGGCUUUAAUCUUCUCAAAACAUACCAAAAAUUCAUGCCAAAUUCGUACAAAAUGUACGUUAAAUAUUCACUCAUCAGCCAUUUACCAUAGACAGGAAGCGCACAAAAAAUGAGCUAUUCAAGCAUGACAAGAAUCAUAGAGUGAGCGAACCAACUAUACCUUGAUAAUCUAAAAAGAGUUCUGCAAACUCGUACUCUCGUACUAAACCAGGACCAUAUAUAUAUAUAGAUAUGUCGAUUCAAUUUUCUAAUGAUGUGUGUGGUACGAACGCACAUUAGAAUUACAGAAAAUUCUAGAGUAAACUUUCACAAAAGAAGGGAAAGAAUGGAGAGCUCUUGAAGCGUGAUUGAUCGCUAUUCUUAAGAAUCCAAUUAUCCAUACUACACUAAGUAUUUGCUGUAGAGAUAAAGGUAAUUUAACUUUAGGAUACAACAAGAGAAGAAGAAGUUGAUAGCAAUAUCAAGUUUCUCAAACUAAGAAAUGAUCAAAUAAUUCUAGCUAGUUUUGACAAUAAAGGCUUGUUUUUUUACAAGUAACCUGUUUUCCACUCGUCUCUAAGUAUAUAUCCUUCGAUACGUGGCACUUAAUCCCAAUUAUUUGACUUUAAACUUCAUUCUGUGAUGUGGAUUCUAUGUGUUAGUAUAUACAAGACUAAUCUUAAACAUUACUUGAAAAUCAUAUUAUAUGUAAUUGAGUACCGCAUAACUUGCAAUUAUCCACUUACGCUCUCAAUAUUAUUGGGAUAUUACAUGGAUUUUCGUUUCGGUAACUCUAAUUAUAUAGUCUCACGAUCCAUCUUAACUGAAGGGGCCAUUAUGAAUUACCAAUUAUAUAGUCUCACGAUCCAUCUUAACUGAAGGGGCCAUUAUGAAUUAGAUGAACAUGAAGUUGAAUUUCGAUUCUCAAGCUAUUCCCUUCCUCUUUCUUCAUUGUAAGGAUUAGAGUCUCUUUUGGAGGAAAAAAACACUCUAAUUAUACAGGAUUAAAGCAAAUAGCAAUGGUUGAUAAGUGACUAAUUUACGUAAUAAUUGUAUAAUAUUUUAUAUUAUUUUUAGUCACUUUAGUUAUAUUAUUGGAAGAAAAUGAAUGAUUUUGGCUAUAAUUGGUGAAAAAUACUUUUAAAUAAUUAAAUGAGGUUUUUAUCACUUUUUACUUGGAUUUUGUGUAUUUUGAUAGUUUUGACAUAUUUUCGUAUUUCGGCUAUAACUUGAGUUACAAUGAUCGGAUUGGGAUGAUUCUUGAACCCAUUUGAAGAUAAGAGAUAGAUCUACAACUUUGGUGAAAACAUCUGAAUCCAGUUUGAAGCGUUUCCAAGUCAAAAAGCCGAAUUACAGUAGCAAAUUUCCACUGGUCGAAGCUGAAACAGGGCAAUGAGCAGGCAAGGGUAUUUCGGUCAUUUCUCAGCCUACACAGAUCCAAAUGAGGUGAUUCUUGAUGCAUUGGAAAGCUAACUCAAAGGGCUACAAAUUUCAUGUUUUGAUCAAGAGCUAAAUCAGCUUUUAUCAUCAAGAAAAGUUCAGUGGAAGUUGAUGCAAAAUUGGAGCAGAGCUGGAAAUUGAACCAGAAGUGAUCAAAUGGUCACUGUAGCAAUCCGGCAGGAAUUUGGCCGGAUUUGUGGCCGGAUUCCUGGCCGGAUUGUGGUCAGAGAAGGCUGCUCUUUACGCGGAAAACUUAAUUUCAUCUCCACCAACUCACAUGUGAUGCUAGACAUGUGAGAAACAUUCUCAGCUGUAAAAGGGAGGUGUAAACCUCACUUCUUGACCAACUUUCAUCAUUAUAUAGCAAAAGCUUGCAAGAUUGAAGGGAGAUAGAGAGAGAUACGGGAGAAAGCUUGGACUGCAAAAAAUGUAGCUCUACCAUUCUUCCUAGUGUUAGUUUAGCUUAGUAUAGAGUAGGAUAGUUCAUCCAUUCUUGUUAUUAGCUAGAUAAAGAAGAAGAUAAAGGAUGAAGAAGGCAAGGAAGAAAGCUCAUGUGACAAGGGUUGUAUUCCUUCCAAACUCUUUAUCUUUUGUACUUGAUUCCAAGUUUAGUUGAUAUGCAAGUUCUGGAUUUUGUGUUCAAUAUGUGUCUCUAAAGUUUAUACCUUGGGUUUGGUUGAACUUUCUAUAAUUGUUAGUGUUUAUUAUUUGGUUAUUUGAUUGCUAUGAUUUGAGCAAGUUAUUUAGCACUUUGGCUCUUUAAAUCAUGAUUAAUUUGGUACCAUUGAUUGUGAUUAUCUAAGGUGUUGUUUCUGCAAUGAAAAUUGAGAUUUAACACUGGUUCAAGAAGUGCUAAACAUAGGGAAUACACUCACGAGAGUAGAGCUACACCUAUGUGGUUUUAGUGAUUCAUUCCAUGUAAUUUCACUGAAGAAAUGAACUUGUAGCUAAUUUCAUAACCAUGAGAAUAGGUAUGGAUUAGUUAUGAGUAUAGUUGAUUCACUACGAAAGUAGGUUUCACAUGUUUAAGGAAAUUACACCAUAACUAGCUUAGAUGUAGUAUUCAAUGAUCCAAAUAUAGCACUUGCAUGAGUAGUUAGGGAUACCACAAUCUAAGGAGCUUUUAUUUGUUAUUUUAUAUAAUUUCAGUAGGUUAAAUUUGUUAUAAUUCAUUGAUAGUCUAAAUAAUAGAGAAGCUUUCGUAAUACCGGUAAUUGUUCACUCUUCCCUGUGGAAUCGACCCGAUAUAUACCCUAAACUACUAGUUGACCUGUAUACUUGCAGUGAAUGGGUGUAAUUCGAUUUUUUUUUUUUUAACUUGCACGUAUGUAAAAUACCCGUCAAUGGUCUAUAAAAGCAUAAAAAGUAAGCAGGCUGGGGCAUAUUUAUUAAAACAUGAAAAUAAUAUGAAAUUUUAUAAUACACAUGAUACGAAUAAUAAACUGUACGUAAAUAAUGCAAAUAUAUUCGAAAAGUACAAAGCUGAUCAAAAUACAGCUUCAUUUACCAUGUGCAUAAUAGCUGUGUGCACAUUCUAGUGAAGAUUUUUUUAUUUUUAGUGUAAGUGAGAAAUUUCGAGUUCCAAACCUUUCACUUACACUCUUUUUUCCUAUAUCAUCCAAUCCAUCCCUUCCCAUAUUUUUAUGAAGAUGAGCACAUAAUGUGAGUUUUUAUUUUUUGAGGUGAAUAACUUGUUCACAAAAAAGUUUUCUCGAUUUAGGUAAAGUUUAAACUUUACCUUGUCUAAACAACGCAAGUAGAUGCCACUAGGACUAGGGAUGGCAACGGGGCGGGGGACCCCUCCCCCAUCCCCCGCCCCGCUACCUACAAACUCCCCCCGUCCCCCGCCUCCCACUUCCCCUGCCCCGCCCCGCUUCCCCCGCGGGGUUAAUAAAAUUUUUCCCGCUAGAUUAAUAAAAUUUUAUUAUAGUUAAAUUUUAAUAAAUAAUCAAGUACUAAAAUAUCAACACAUCAUCAAGUUAUUAUUCAUUUUAAUUUUAUAAUUGAAACUCAUAAAAACAAUCAAACAAAAAUUAUUUGAAUACAAUCCAACAUGAUGAAAUAAAUAUAACUAAAAUAGUUAAGUUUUCACUUUUGGUACAAAUACAAUCACUAAUUCAUUAUUGUGUUUGUGCUUUUUUUUUUAGAAAAAGUGUUAUUCAAUUAAGUAUAAUUAGAAAUUUAGUAUAAAUGUAUUACUAAAUUUAGUAUAACUAAUUAAUAAAUUCUAUUAGUAGACAUGUCUAAUUAUUCGUAUAAUUGAUAAUAUUAAUUAUAUUACAUACACUAAUAUACAUUAUAUAAUACAUCUAACUAAUAAUAUCAUUAUCAUAAGUUUAUAACUAAUUAAAUUACAUAUUAUAUAUAAUUAUAUAUAUAAUUUUUUUUGAGGGUGGCGGGGCGGUGGAUGGGGCGGGGGUAUACUCCCCCGCUCCCCGCCUUGUUUCUAAACGGGGGAAAAAAUUCCCCCCCGUCCCCGCCCCAUCCCCCGCCCCAACCCCAGCCCCGAGAGCCCCCCGCGGGGCGGUUGCCUGCGGGCACCCGCCCCCAUUGCCAUCCCUAACUAGGACAGAAGUCAUUAUGAUGACUUCAUCCAAGGUAACGAAAAAAAAGGCGUACAAUUGCACUUAAAAUUUGUGAAUUUAUAGUACUAUUUCAUGGUUUAUCCUAGGGGUGUUUCGCGAAUCGAGCCGCUCGCGAUCGAAAACGAGCUCGACUCGAGCUCGUCAAUAUCGAGUUUGAGUCGAGCUCGAGCUAAUUAAGUCGAUCUCGAGCUCAAGCUCGAGCUCAAAAACAUUAAGCUCGUUGGCUCGCGAGCGGCUCACGAGCUCGAUUAUAUAUAUUUUUUUUUAUUUUUUAUUUUAAUAGUAAAAUUACAUAUAUCUCUAAUAUUUUAUUAUUUAUUAAAAAAAUUAUUAUUUUAUUCAUUUUUAAAAAUAAAUAAUUAUUUUUUAUUUUUUAAAAAUAAAAUAAUAAUAAUUAUUUUUUUAUUUUUUAAGCUCAAGCUUGAGCUCGAGCUCGACUCGAAUUUGACUCAUGCUCAAGCUCGAGCUCGAUAUUUUGAGCUCGUCGAGCUCGAGCUUCACAAAAUUAACUCGAGGUCGGCUCGAUUAGCCAAAGCUCGACUCGAGGUCGGCUCGUUUGCACCCCUAGUUUAUCCCCUCAAAGUUAACAACAAAUAAUGUUUUGAACCCCAUUUAAACAACUUAUGAGCGUAAUUCAAAUUUAUUGCUCCAUUAUGUGUGUACAAUGUAUCAAAACAAAAGAGUAGCAAAUUGUGUUUUAUUGCACUUUUUGUUUAGCUAGCUUCAUGCAAAUUAACCUUCGUAGAUUAUAGGUAAAGAAUUGGUUUGCCAUUCAAUGUAUCCAAGAAAUAUGUGUUAGUACAUAAUGCUUAUUUUAAUGGAUGUACUGGUGUAAAACAAAAUUACAAAUUAUUAAAUUUUAAACUUUACAAGUACUUAAAGCACAAUAAUUUUUUAUUAAAUUAAAAUUUUCCCUUCUGUGAUUUGGUAGUUUAUCUUAUAACCCCUCUAUAGUUUAAAAAUCUGUAAUCAACCUCCUCAUAAUCUGGGUUAACAUAUCAUCGUUAAUUUUUCUAAAGUUUAAGUCAAAUUAAUAUAUUGAAAAAUUUAUCCUUUCACUAAUUCUUUGAGGUAGUUACAAAACUAUUACAAUUAUUAUACACCUUAAACUAUGUAUUUGUUUUCAAGUAAACACAAAAGGUGCAACAAACCAUUUUUAGCCAAGUUAAUAAAAUUGCAAAUGUAACAAUAAAAAGCACCCUAUGAAAAGUUACUCUAUAUGAUUAAGAAAAUAAUUUAUAUUUAUUAGAAUGGAAAAAAGUUGCCAGAAGAGGGAGAGACCAUAAGAAAAAUAGUUUAGAGUGAACUGCAUCAAUCAUGCCUUCCAUCAGGGAAAAAUGAUAGAUGUGCGUGUAUAUAGGUACAUAUACGCGCAUUUAUGUAUGUGCAUGUACACGGACGUGAGGUAGUUCCUUUAAAAAGUAGCUUCUCCUGCAAUAAUCCAAAUUUUAGCACAGUGGCAGAAAUGGAAAAGUAGUAUAGGCUGAACCGAAAUCUACUAAAAUACAAGCUUGAAAUUCAGAUAGAAAUUGAAAUGCAUAAAACGUCCAGAGCCUUUUUUUUUUUUUUUUUUGAGGAGAUAAAACGUUCGGAGCUGAAAGCAGAACCAGUCUUUGAGUCGUAGUGUUAUUUAGAUUCAAGUGAAAGAGGGGGCACAGGAUACAAUACAGCAGCCAAACAGAAAUGGAAGCUUGAGCUCUUGGACCAUUUGGCCAGAACGGUAGAGCCCUAAAUUGGAACCAAUACAAAGCUUUCUGCCGGAAGAACAUGGCAAACAUGGGAGGUCCCGGAAGGCAACGCGACCAUGGUUCCGGUAUCCAUGUGACAAACAGCUUCGAUUGUCAGUAAAAUCCUGUACACGCCCGAUUGUCAGCCUGUUGAGAAUGGCAAUAAAAGAUUUAAGGAUAAGCCAUGGUUCGACAGGAUGUCAUCUUCGGAGUUAAAAUCAUUUCAGGAACUUGUAAGAUUGUGUUGUUUUUAUUAGGGAUAAUGUAUAUCUCUGUAACAGAGUUAAUGUAUAUCUCUGUAACAGAGUUGGUUAUCAGUUUGGAUUGGUAAAUAGAUAUCUAGCUGAUUAGGCGUUAUCCUUAGCUGUACUUGUAUUCAAAUAGGAUUAGUAGCUAUCGGUAGCGAUAUUCACGGUUUGGGCUGUAUGUAUAUAUCCUUGCCGAAUGCGUAAGAAACUGGAUAAAAACUUCUUCCGCUGAAACCUUUUCAUGGUAUCAGAGCAAGAACCUUCUGUCAACUGAAAAAACAUGGAAGGAGAUGGAAAGAAAAUAGUGUCGCCAUACACCUUGUAUGCCAAUGAUAAUCCUGGAAAUAUAAUCACCCAGGUACAGUUGAAGGAGGAUAAUUAUGACGAAUGGGCUAGAGCAAUCCGAACUGCUCUUAGAGCCAAGAAGAAAUUCGGAUUCAUUGAUGGAACCAUAGCACAGCCAGAUGAAGAUUCCGAUGAAUUAGAAGACUGGUGGACAGUGAAUUCCAUGCUUAUAUCGUGGAUGAUGAAUACGAUUGAGCCAACGGUGCGAUCUACUUUGACACACAGGGAGAUUGCAAAGAACUUGUGGGAAGACAUUAAAGAAUGUUUCUCAGUGACUGAUGGUGCACGAGUGCAGCAACUGAAGACAGAAUUAGCAAAUUGCAAACAGCAAGGACUCUCCCUUAUGAGUUACUAUGCUAAAUUGAAGCGACUGUGGGAGGAACUGGUGAAUUAUGAUGCAAUCUCUACGUGCAAGUGUGGGGGUUGUACGUGUAAUGUGGCAACUGAAUUAACAAAGAAACGAGAAGAAGAAAAACUUCAUCAAUUUCUGAUGGGGUUAGACGAUGCAUAUAGAACAGUGAGAUCAAACAUUUUGAGCACAACUCCAUUGCCUGGUGUGAGCAAGGCGUAUUCCUUGAUGUGCCAAGAAGAAAGGGUUCGAAAUAUCUCCAAGGAAAAAGAGAUUAACAACGAAGCGGCUAGCUUUGUGGUUCAGGCCAAAACAGGAAUCAAGGAUAGGAGUGCCGUUUGUAAAUACUGCAAUCGCGAAGGGCAUGAUGCUGACGGAUGUUUUCAGCUGAUUGGAUAUCCCGAUUGGUGGGGUGAUCGACCUAAAAUGUCUGGUUCGGGUCGAGGAAGAUAGACUGGAGGAAGAGGACGUGGCAAGAUGUCAGGAAGAGGACGAAAUGGGGCACGAGUUAAUGCAGCAAGUAAUUGAAGAAUCCACUGCUGCAACAAAGGAUUUUGCUACUCUUAAAGGACUGACAAAUGAACAAUGGGCAGCAGUUGUGAGUUUGUUGAACGCUUGCAACUCAGAAUCAGGGAGUAAUGAGAAGAUGACUGGUAAGGAAAACUUUAUCUGGAUAAUUGAUUCUGGCGCUACACAACAUAUGACAGGAAAUUCGAGCUGUCUAUCUAGCUUGAACCAGAUAUUAGGCUGUCCCAUUGGCUUGCCUAAUGGAGAACAGGUGCUGGCAUUGCAAAAAGGGUCGAUUCGGAUGGGACAAAAUAUUCAAUUAGACAAUGUUCUUCAUGCUCCGGGAUUACAUUGCAAUUUAAUCUCAGUAUCACAAUUGGUUGAUGACUCAAAAUGUAAUGUGUUGUUCACUGAUAAGCUUUGUUUGAUACAGGACCGCACUUCGAGGAUGGUGAUUGGAGCGGGUGAACGAUGCAAGGGGCUUUAUUACUUCAAGAAGGAGACGCCAGUCCAAGCACUUCAAACUCGGACGUUGGAUUCAUGUGAUCUUUGGCAUCGGAGAAUGGGGCACCCAUCUUCAAAGGUCGUAGGUUUAAUUUCUGGGAUUAAGAUUCAAUUAGGUUCAAAUGAAACUUGUGAUGCUUGUUUUAAAGCUAAGCAAACGAGAGAAGUAUUUUGUUCUAGUGAUAGUAGAGCUAGUGAAACAUUUGAAUUGAUUCAUUGUGACUUGUGGGGACCAUAUCGAGUCUCGAGUUCUUGUAAUGCAUCUUAUUUUCUUACGAUUGUUGAUGAUUUUUCGAGAUGUGUGUGGAUAUAUUUGCUGAUCGAUAAAACUGAAGUUGGCCAUAUUUUGCCAAAUUUUGUUACUAUGGUUCAACGACAAUUUGUUAAGAAUGUUAAGAUAGUUCGUAGUGAUAAUGGCAGUGAGUUCGUCAGUUUGAAGGGAUAUUUCUCUGCUAAAGGGAUAAUCCAUCAAACUUCAUGUGUGGGAACGCCCCAACAGAAUGGACGAGUGGAAAGAAAGCAUCGGCAUAUACUGAAUGUGGCUAGAGCUUUAAGAUUUCAGGCCAACUUACCAAUCAGAUUUUGGGGAGAAUGUGUGUUAACUGCUGGAUAUCUGAUUAAUCGUACCCUUUCUCAAUUACUAGGAGGAAAAACACCUUAUGAAAUGCUAUAUGGUCACUUGCCUGAUUAUCGGUCAAUUCGUACAUUUGGUUGCUUGUGUUAUGCACAGAGUUUGAAUCGUACGAAGGAUAAAUUUGCUCCUCGAAGCCGGAAGUGUAUCUUUGUGGGUUAUCCGUUUGGACAGAAAGGUUGGCGGUUGUAUGAUUUAGAAACACGGAAGUAUUUUGUGUCUCGGGAUGUUGUAUUUUGUGAAGAUGAGUUUCCAUGUGCAGUUGACCACACACCUGAUCAUGUUCGAACCUGUACGGAUAAUUCAAUAGAUGAUUACCUUGAAGAAGAGGUAGUAGGUCAGACAAGAGACAAGGAAAAGGAGCAGCCUACUCCUGUUCGUGCAACUCAUGAGCGUUUAGAUUGUGUGCCGAAUGACAAUGUCAACGUAAGGCAGGGAGGUGUAACAAUUGAACCUCGAAUAGAGAACGUAGAGACAGUAGAAGGUGUGACAGCACUUGGUCGUGGCCUUCGUUCCAAGAAAGUCUCUACACGGCUGAAGGAUUGUGUGACUUAUGCAGUUCAAAGUGCAAGCCCCUCUGCAAGUUCAGCCAAUCCAUCAUCAUUCUCAGGUACGUCUUAUGACUUAGCUCAAUAUGUUGAUUACACAAAUUUCUCACCAGGUCAUCAAGCUUUCUUGGCAGCCAUCACAACCAAUUUUGAGCCAAGAUUUUAUCAUCAAGCGGUUAAAGAUGUCCGAUGGAGAGAAGCUAUGCAAAAGGAGAUUGAUGCACUCAAACAAAAUGGCACAUGGACUCUUGUUGACUUACCACCAGGGAAGAAAGCAAUAGGAAGCAAAUGGGUGUACAAAAUUAAGUAUAAUUCUGAUGGGACCAUUGAACGAUACAAGGCGCGAUUGGUAAUUCUUGGCAACAACCAGGUUGAAGGGAUCGACUACAAUGAAACCUUUGCACCAGUAGCAAAAAUGGUUACGGUCCGCACAUUUCUCUCUGUGGCAGCAGCUAAAGGAUGGGGACUUCAUCAAAUGGAUGUUCAUAAUGCCUUUCUCCAUGGAGACUUAGCCGAAGAGGUUUACAUGAAACUACCUCCUGGAUUUCACACUGACCAACCCGGGAAGGUGUGUCGCUUAAGAAGGUCCCUUUACGGUUUACGACAAGCACCGCGUUGUUGGUUUGCAAAAUUGGCUGAAGCUCUAAAACGGUAUGGUUUUCUUCAGUCACAGUCUGAUUAUUCCUUGUUUACUUUGAUACGAGAUGGGAUCCAGUUGGGUGUGUUAGUGUACGUGGAUGACCUUAUUAUAGCUGGAAACAAAACGCAUUUGAUCAAUGCAUUCAAAUCAUAUUUGCGCAAGUGUUUUCACAUGAAAGAUUUAGGUGUUUUGAAGUACUUUUUGGGCGUUGAAGUAGCUCGAAAUGCUGACGGGAUUUUCUUGUGUCAACGGAAAUAUGCUUUAGAUAUCAUUAAUGAAGCAGGAUUGUUGGGUGCUAAACCUUCGGAGUUUCCUAUGGAGCAGAAUCAUUCUCUCGCUUUAGCCAAAGGUGAUUUGCUGCAGGAUCCUGAUCAAUACCGAAGGCUGGUAGGCCGUUUGAUUUACUUGAGCUUAACUCGGCCUGAGCUGCCCUAUGGUGUGCAUAUUUUGGCACAAUUUAUGCACCAGCCACGGAAAGAGCAUUGGGAGGCAGCCUUGCGCAUAGUCCGAUACUUGAAAGGUAGUCCAGGACAAGGCAUUUUACUCAAAGCUGAUUGCAAUCUUCAACUGAAAGCUUAUUGCGAUUCGGAUUGGGGAGGUUGUCCAUUAACUCGGAGAUCACUUACAGGUUAUUUCAUCUUUCUUGGGACCUCUCCGAUUUCAUGGAAGACCAAGAAACAACAUACGGUUUCUCGCUCUUCUGCUGAAGCGGAAUAUCGCUCCUUGGCCGCCACGGUCUGUGAAUUGAAAUGGCUAAAGGGUUUGUUAUUGUCUUUGGGAGUGCAUCAUGAUCAAUCUGCUGGAGUAUUCUGUGAUAGCCAAGCUGCGAUGCAUAUAGCUGCCAAUCCUGUCUUUUAUGAACGCACCAAACACAUCGAAGUUGAUUGCCAUUUUGUUCGCGAUGAAAUACAGAAAAGUAUGAUCAAAACGGUUUAUGUUCGAAGUCAUGACCAGUUAGCAGACAUUCUAACCAAAGCUUUGGGUCGAGAUCAGUUUGAGUUUCUUCUUCGCAAAUUGGGCGUUCGUGAUCCUCACGCUCCAACUUGAGGGGGGGUAUUAGGGAUAAUGUAUAUCUCUGUAACAGAGUUAAUGUAUAUCUCUAUAACAGAGUUGGUUAUCAGUUUGGAUUGGUAAAUAGAUAUCUAGCUGAUUAGGCGUUAUCCUUAGCUGUACUUGUAUUCAAAUAGGAUUAGUAGCCAUCGGUAGCGAUAUCCACGGUUUGGGCUAUAUGUAUAUAUCCUUGCCGAAUGCGUAAGAAACUGGAUAAAAACUUCUUCCGCUGAAACCUUUUCAGUUUUGCAAUCUAUCUGGAGUUGAUCUCGUGGGUUGUUGUGUCAAAAAGACUCCAAUAUUGGUCUCCGGACCCAUGAUUUUUCCUGCAAAUUCACCCAAUAACUCAUAGGAUGCGACACAAGUAUUCUUCUCUCCGUUGAUCGGCAUCCUCUCACACUCUCGAAGAGUAUUUUCCAUCAUCUGGGCUUUUCGAGGUCCUUGAGGAAUCGAAAAGUGUUCAAGAAUGUAAGGGAGUUGCUCUAGCUGUGGCAACUGACAAAAUUAUCCUUGAUUGCUAUUCUCUCUACAGGGUUCAAUGUAUAUGCAUGUGACAACAGUAUACCCUGUUAAUGGAGAAUUCAAUUUGGUGCUAUAUAUAGCCCAUUCUUAAACCAGGUUUUGUUUGAUUGGUUUUUAAAUUUGCCAGUGAUCAUACUGAGACCGGAUUGCCCCUGACGAAUUUGAAUUAUGGAGGCGAGUCCAUUAUUUGAUCAAGAACCACCAAGAUUUACUACAUGGCAAGCCAAGAUUUCAAUCUCAUCGAGCUCUUUUACAUUCAUUGUAUGGCAUGUACAAGAGCAUUAGUUUCGUUAAGUUAACGAUCAAUAGUUAUAAAUUCACAUGCAUAAAAAAAUAAAGUAAUUUUAGUUUAUGUACAUGACUCAGGAAAAAAUAUACCAAUAUACAGUAAUUCUUGGUAUAUAUAUUGAUUGUUAGUUCAUGUACAUAACUCAGGAAAAAAUUUUAGUUCGUGUACAUAAAUCUUGGUGUAUGUUUGUACCAAUUUUUGUGAAAGUUAAAUCAACCAAGCACAACUGGACCUGCGCCAAUCCAGGAUUUUCACUUGCCCGUCCCCCUAAUCCAAAUUUGAUGCACAUGCCAUAAAUUAAAAGAUAAAAAACUUAACAUUGGAGAAUUAAAUGUGCAAAAAGAAUAUAUAAUAUAAGACUAUUGUACAAUAUCAACAUAUGACACAUGUCUAUUGUACAACAUCGUCAAAUCAAGAAAAUACGCACACCCAGAAUACAUAGAUGUUCUAUACAGUCCCUAAAACUUUUUUUUAUAUAUACUAAUUUGAUACAGUCCACAGAACUCCAGUCUUUACCGUUACAAUUUCAACUUCUAAUUCUCUUUAGGGUAUUAAGAAGGCCUUACUUAUAAUAGGUCUGAAGAAAAGUCAAGACAAGAAGGAAAGCAGCGGCAAAUAAAGCAAUCGCUGUCCAGGGACUGUUAAAAUAAAUGUAGAAGAGUUCGGCCAGCCAUGUCUUUGCCUUCUUGUUGUAGUGUGCCUGAAUUUUCUCGUUCACAUCAUGACAAAUGGUGACAUUCCGCAUCCCGUAAGUGUUUAUGUCUUUAUAAACUGCUAGGUUUGGUUACAGGAAAUUGACAAAAGGAUUUUUGACAAUCUUAAAAAAGACAAAUAACAAAGCAAAAAUAAAUAAAAUAGAAACACAUGAAUUUACGUGAUUCGAUCAAAUUGACCUAGGUCCACGGGCGGAAGAGGAACAAUAUUUUACUAUGAAGAAAAAAGUACAAAAAUGCCUUAGGCCCAAAAAAACAAGAGAGUCCAAAAUAUUUUAUUAAACAAAAAAUUUAAUGACUCAAAGGUCUAAAUAGUCCUCUAAAUCUCUGUUGGUUUGGCAUACUUAAUCCCGUCACAAACCCAUUAUAUUUAUAGGCAACUAAGAGAAAGGCUCCCUUAUACAAAAGUCGAUAUGGGACAAUGCCACUUUAACAAAUCUCCACCUUGGCGUGUUCUCAAUAUCGACAAUAGCAAAAUUAUUCCACCUUCUCCACAUAAUCCCCAAUAGGCCUAAAUCACCAGCAACGAAUACCAACCAAAUUCAAGCAUUGAUUGAACUUAUAAAUUGGAAGAGGUUUUGUGAGCAUGUCUGUAGGAAUCUCCUUGGUACUGAUUUUCUGAACAAGGACUUUUCUCUCAGUAAUAAUAUCUCGAAUGAAAUGAAAUUUCACAUGAAUGUAUUUCGUUCUCUCAUGAUAUAUCUGGUCUUUAGUCAAAUAAAUAGCACUUUGACUAUCACAGUAAAUAGUAUGAUGAGAAUAUAAAGACCAAGGCCCAUUCAAGCACAUGGGGAAUUGGAAGAUUCAAGUGAAGACUAGUUGAUUGCACGAAUACUUGAGUUUAGUAGGAUUAUUUGAUUUUUCUCGUUGAUUUUGGUUAUUUCUCGCUUUAGAAAGUCUAGGUAAUUAAGCUAGUUUAAUUGCGGCUCAUUUGUUAGUAAGUGAUGCCCAAAAUCUUCCUUAAAGUAUGUAGGGUAGUUUGGUCAACUUUUGGAUUAGGGUUAAUGCUUGUAAGGGCUAUAAAUAGCCCCACUUCCUCUUUGUUUUAGGGGAUCAGUUUUUGACUAUUAAAUACAAUUAGUGAGUUUUCACUUUCUCUUUGGCAAGAGAGUUUCCUUUGAAUACUUGAGAAUCUUCUCAAGUUAUUCGCCUGAACUUAUCAAUCGAGUAUCUCCUUGAUUGUGGCGUUCUACUACCUCCAAUUUGGUUCGUUAAUUCGAGCAGUGACGGGUUGAGAUAAUAUCAAAAUUGUUCGUGACUUCUAGGGAUUAGUUGGGUCAAAUUUCCGCUGCCUAAACCAUGGUGUUUUGGUUGUCUAGAUCGGGGAUUCACAUCAGUUGGUAUCAGAGCUAGUCGACAACCACCAGGUUAUAUCUUUUUUUUGUUCGUGUAUUUCGAGUCAUAUAUGUUUAUCCCAAUCUGUUCGUUUGUUUAGAACCAAAAAAAAAAAAAAGUGUCACUGUUCACAGUUACUGUUCACACCAACACUGUUCAUCGUACUGUUCACCGACACUGUUCAUCAUUACUGUUCAUAGUUACUGUUCAUCCGAAUACAAAUCUGUCCAGCCUUAUUGUUUGUGUUAUCCAACUUGUUUACUUGGUUUUCAAAUCUGGAUUUUGGCAAAACUUGUUGGAAUUUUGUGAAUCUUGAAGAGAACUUACAAUAAUCUUGAGUUUCUUGCAUUCUUGAUCACAAUCUUGAAAUUUCUGAAGUUCCUGACAACUUCCUUGAAAGUUCUUGAAAGAUCUUGGAGUUCUUGGUAGUUAUUAUUUGUGGACUUCCUUGUUUUGUGUCGUGGUUAAUAGUUGUAGUAAAAAAAAAAUCACAGAAAACAAAAACGAAAAGAAAAAGAAAGAAAAGAGGAAUCGGUUGGCAAAAAAAAAAAAAAAAGGAAAGAAAGUGGCAACCGAAUUGUUUUGAAUAGGGAACCAAAUCUGAUUUAUGCAAUCUUUCUUGGAGUAGAAUUUGGAAGUUACCAAAAGUUGUUUCAAGAAAAUUACCAAAGGUUGUUUCAAGAAAGUUACCAAAAGUUGUUCAAGAGGAAAAGGAUUUUCAAAGGGUUUCCAAAAACUAACUUGUUUCCAAAAUUAAUUAGGAAACUAAGUAAAGCACUUGGAUAACUCUUUGUACUCAUUUGGACACUCUCUCUGCUACCUUUUUAGGAAACUUUCCUAAACUCUCUCAUCCAUUUCUUUUGGAAACUUUCCUAAAGUCUCCCAUCUAUUUUUAGGAAACUUUCCUAAAUUCUCUCAUACAUUUUUAGGAUCUUUCCUAAUUCUCUCAUCCACUUUAGGAAACUCUCCUAUAUUCUUUCAUCCAUUUUAGGAAACUCUCCUAUAUUCUCUUCCUAAAUUUUAGGAACACUCUCCUAUACUUUCUCCUAUAUUUUCUCCUAACUUUUAGGAACACUUUCCUACACUUUCUCCUACAUCUCCGUGAUUACUGUUGAGGAAGAAGUUGGUGACAAUUAUUUAGGCUUGAGCAGCAUUUCUCAAACUACCUAACCCAACAGGUAAAGGUGUUUGGUAAGUCCAUUGGAGCGCUUUGAGUGACAUACACGAGGGUGAGUGAUACACUAAGGGAGUGAGCGAGGCACUUUCUACUAACUGUUUGUUGAGCCUUGCAGGUACUCUAUAAACAUGUCUCAAACUCAUGCGACAAGUGACCCUUAUGACAUGAAACAUGUUCUUGAAGCAUUAACAGGCGUCAUUGAUCGCAUGGCUCAGAGAAUUGAUACACUGGAGGAUAAGGUGGAGCAAUCAACCCUAGGCAAGAAUGCCUCCAAAAGACAACCAUACGUGGAGGAGUUAGGUGAUUCGAACAAUGAGGAGGACAUGGCAGAUGGAAACCGAUUCCGGAAUUAUAAACGCAUCCCUAAUCAAGGGGAUGAUGAACUAAAAGGAAUCAAGCUCAAAAUUCCUACCUUCCCAGGCAAGUUGGACCCUGAAGCAUAUUUGGAAUGGGAGAGGAAGAUUGAGAUGCUCUUUGACUGCAACCACUACUCAGAGUCCCAAAAAGUAAAGUUGGCAACCAUUGAGUUCACUGAAUACGCAGCCAUUUGGUGGGAUCAGAUUCGCACCAGACAAAGAAGACAUGAAGAACCACUCAUUCGCACUUGGGAAGAACUCAAAAGGAUCAUGAGGAAGCGCUUCAUACCAGCGUAUUAUGAUAGGUUGCAAUUUUAUCAUUUAUUUUAUAAUUAAUUUCUCCUAUUACCUGACUUGAUGUGGGUUAAUUGCGGGAUUCUACUCACUUUUAGUAUUUUACAUUUAUUUCAGGGAGUAGAACGAAAAUAUAAUAACAUGUGCUAAUUUGACAGAAAAAGAGUCCAAGGCACAGAGCUUAUCCCGGGGGCAUUAUUGGCAAAGGAAGACUUUUGCCCAUUUUGGUAAUUUCAAAAGAAGAGAGCAGGGCAGAGGCCUCUAUUUUACUGGAGGCUGGAGCGCCGCACAAGGGGGUCUUCUUCUUCCUCUGCGGAAGGAGAGCCGCCGCGCAGAGCUUCUCAAAAGAGGACAUUAGAUAGGAAUAGAGCAAACAAUGGCAGACAACUCUUUAGCUUAGUCUUUUGACUUUUCCUUGUGGGCUCCAAGUAGCUUUUCCUUUUCCUUCUCGUAUGAUUGGACAAGUAGAAACCAUAGAAUCAAUUGCUGUAGCUUUGCUAUCUUUUCAAACAUUGGAACCGAAUUGAAUUUCCCCAAUUUCAAGGGACAAUGGCUGCGGCUCUCUUUGCAAUUUCUGGUGGGUUUAGUUCAUCAAUUAUGAACUAAUUUUCCAAUUCUAGUCAAGGAGCAACGAAGCCUUUGGUUCGCCUAAAAAUUGUGAGAUCGAUUUAAUUUAAUCUUUUCCUUUUAUUUAUUGGUAUUCGCAUAUUUCCUGGUUACAGUGCUUAUGAUUGUUUAAUUAAUUGAUUGUCUUGGAUCCGGAUAAUUAGUUAAUUUGGUAAUCUAUUGUCAAUUGGGACGUUAAAUCCGUAAUUGUUUAAUUGUCUCAAAAUAGUGAUAACUGGCAUGAUUAGGUUUGUGUCAGGGGAAUACGCGGGCUAAUCUAAAAUAACCCUGGUAGUGCGUUAUUUGGUUAGAAUAGGGCUCCUUUAAUACGUAAGGCAAUUGGGGAAUUAAAUUCUAUGGGCGUACCUAGGAUUAUUUCUCAAUUAGAGCAGUGAUUAACGGGCGUACCUUGAUCACCGACACAGUAAGGAGGGGUUGACUGUCAUCGCUUGCUUGGCAGUUAUAACCUAUUUAUUGAUAAAUAAUUGGAAUUGCCUUUGCUUAUCGAUGAUCAAUUAGGUGAACCAUUGUUGAAGUUAUUUCUUGGCUAGAUCCUUAAUUAUCACUCAUUAGAUUUUAGUAAUUUGUUAUUUAAUUUCUAGUUGGUUAUUUUAUUUUUAUUUUUAUUAUUUUACUUUUAGUUGAAUUGUUUAAAUUGUCACCCCUGAGAUAAAAACACCCCCCAUGUCACUGUGAAUUUGGAAAGGAACAAUUACUCCCAGUCCCUGUGGAUUCGACCCUGCUUACCACUAUCUACAGAAAUUAACUUUAGUUUGAGCAGGUUUUAUUAUUGCACAGGCUGACGACCUGUCAAUUUUUGACGCCGUUGCCGGGGACUGGUGCCAGAUUAAUUUGUUUCUUUUUGAGUUUAUCUUGUUUUCAUUUUUUUUAUUUUAUUUUUCUCUUUUUUUUUAUUUUUUAUGGCUGCUAACAUUCCAUAUUUUGAUGAUAGACUGGACUUUGUUCCUAAAUGGGGUUAUGAGACUCAUGUUUUUCCUAAUGAUCAAUGGGCUGUUGCAAAUUGUGGAACUUAUUUUGAUUCAGGUUAUUCAACUGACACAUGCCCCGCAUUUCAAGAUAAUUUAAGCGCUCCAAUUGAUACUUUUGGAGAUUUUCCAUCUCGAUUUCAAACGUGGUAUGACCCUUAUUCAAACGGGUAUGAUCAAGGAUGGUGGGAUAAUUCCAAUUUUGAUUAUGCGACCGGGCCAAUGGAUUUUCAACAGCAAGAGUCUCAGCAAUCAUCCUCCGUGUCAGGUAUGUCUCUUGAAGAAAUGAUGGGAUUACUAAUUGCUAAUACAAAUCGAUUUCAUCAGGAGACACAAGCGAGUCUAAAUCGAUUUCAUCAGAAGACACAAGCGAGCCUUCGCGACCUGGCGGAUCAAAUGCGUCAAUUGACAUCCAGGAUAGAGCGAUUAGCUUCUCACCUUGAAGAAUUGCCCUCACAAACCAAUAUCAAUCUUGAAGGAGAUGAGAGUGCAAUUAUCCGGCCAAAUGACAUGGAACUGCAAGAGUUUCAAGGAAACGGAUUUAAAGAUGCAGUUGAAAAGGAAGUUGAAGUGCAAAAAAUGAGACUCCAGGAUCAACUCAUUAAAGUGAAUGAAUCCAGUGAACAAUCUCCAAAUGCGGUGACAUCCCCUCCACUCUUUCAUCACUAUUCUCCUGACUCUUACUUCUCAAUUCCUGUUAAUGAAAUUGACUUUAUUAUACCAGACAAUUUUGAAUUUCAUGACAGGAAUAAAUUAAGAGUGGCGAUGGCGAGAUAUCUUGAACCAAUAAAUGCAAAUGAGGGAGAAGUGAAUGGAGAAUGCAAAUUAUCAUCGACUCGUUUGGCGCCAUUCACUAGUCCAUGGAAGCCCGUAGCUGGUAUGCUCAAGGAUUAUUCUAUUUACGAGGGUUAUCAGGACUAUAUAGAGGAUGAAGCAUUAAAAUGAGCCACACGAUUUUAUCCUCCAUGAACAAAACAUGAUAAUGUCUAGCCAAAGACAUUAAAGAAAGGCGCUCAUUGGGAGGCAACCCAAUUUCUUUUAGUUGUUUGUUUGAUUUUAUUUGUUAGUUUAAAUCUGUCUUCCUUGAAUUUGACUAAUUUUGGGUGUUAAUUUUCGUUUUACUGAUUUAUAGGUGCCCUUCAGUCAUGGCGUGCCCGCGUGGUUAUGUGCAGGAAGCUCACGAUCAGAAACUUCUGGGAGCUCUCUUGCCCUCAUGAUGUGCCCGCGUGGUGAUGUGCAGGAAGCUCACGACCAGAAACUUCUGGGAGCUCUCUUGCUCUCUUGACGUGCCCGCGUCACGUUCGCGGGAAAGGUAAAUAUUCAAAGAAACUCAAGAACGAUUAUUGAUUUCCGGUUAAUCACUACUUUUGAAUUUCAAAAAUAAAUUUUGUCAAUAAUAAAAAAAAAAGAGAUGAUAUAUGAAAAAAAAAUUUCCACCAAAAAAAAAAAAAGAAAUAAAAGAGAGGGGGAGUCUUUCCCUGAAAAAAAAAUCUAAAAUGAAAAAAAAAUGAAAAAGCAAAAAAAAAAAAAUUUCCUCUUUUUCACCGUAGCUCAGUUUUCCUUAAAAAAAAAAAAAUUCCUUUUUCCUUCUUUUUCUUUUCUUUCUUUUCUUUCUUCUUCUUUCUUUCUUCCUUCUCCCCUAUUCCUUCUGUGUCGGCCGAAGCCCGCACGCCACCAUGGCUGCGCGCCGCAGCCUGCUGCGCCGCGCACUCCACCUCUCCACUUCACAGUCGCGACCAUCUCUUCUCUCCCCUCGCACCAGCGACGACCACCAUCGCGUGACGCCACCCUCACCGCUACUGGAGCUCGCGCACCUCUGCCCAGCAAGCAGCGCCACCACAGCUCCGCGCCCAUCUCCCUCGCUCAACCCCACGCCACCUCCGUAGCAGCAGCUCUCACCUCACGGAACCCGGGUUGAGCUCGCCGCGAUUGCCACCGGCCGCUGCCCGCCGCCUCUCUGCUGAGGUCGCUCGCCGCGGCUAUUUUCUUCCUCCGCUGCGCAGUCCACCAGUGCUCCACCUUCGGCUUCAGCUCGGUCUCCACAGUCGUCGCAUGCCACCCGCUGCUGCCCCCUUUCAUUUGGGUUGUCGUCCAAGGUGGAGGUAAUUGGAACUUGUCCCCCAUUUUCUUAAUAACUAAUUGGUGCUGCCUGGGUUGCUCAAUAGUUAAUGUUGUUGACGAUUGAAGUUUAUUUUCUCAAUUGGUGAAUUCCACCAGUGGUACUGGUCGGACUAUUUUCGCUUGGAAUUGCUAUUUCUUUUGGGUUGGGUGAAAUUGUGCAAUUAAUUGGCCAACUGGAGCCAUUUGUUGGGAUUUUGGGUGAGUUGAAAUACUGCAACUGUCUAGUGACAUUUGGGCGAUUUGAUUCUGCUUUUGCAUGUUGAAUUGGAAUAUCUGGCCGCUUGUUUUACUUGUGAGAUUGGUAGCAUUUAUUAAUUAUGGAAGACAUCCUGGUGAUUGGUUAAUAUUGCUAUUUUGGGACCAUUGUUUGUGACCUCAGUGGUCGGGGUUCCUAACUGGUGGAUUAGUACAUACUUGGCACAAUCGAAUUUAGGUUAGGAGUCAAGAGGUUAAAGUGAGUAAUGUGAGUAUGAAUCCUUAGUAUGUGAGUAAUGAAUCCUUAGUAUCAUUCCCUUUCACAUGUGUGGUUAUGUGAGUAAUGAAUCCUUAGUAUCAUGCCCUUUCACAUGUGUGGUUAUGUGAGUAAUGAAUCCUUAGAAUCACCAGUUAUAAUGAAUCCUUAUGCACAUUUAAUUGACUUAAUAUUUCGUACCCACAGAUAAUCAAAGAUAUAACUGGGUGAUUCACGAGUUGGUAGAGUGUUUCUAAAUGAUAGUUGCACCUCUUCAUCACAUGAUUCUGGUUGCUGAUCAGAAUCCAAUCUUCUUCCAAUAGCUUCGUUUGGUUCAGAUUGUGUCUUUCUUGUGCCUUUCAAUCUUUACAAUUUAAUAAUUUGUUUCUUAGAUUAAUAGAGUGCAAGAAAGACAAACAGAUAAUAGAGUAAAUUAAAACUCAAGACAAAAGACCCAUAUUUUGGAUAGAGUGCAAGAAGAUAUGGUACUCUAUUAUAUAUCUGAUAGUAACAACGGAAUUGAUAGGGUCUUAAUUUGGCCAGGUCACGUGAAACCACAAUAUAUAUAUACAAUAUAUAUAUAUAUAUAUAUAUUUUUUUUUUAUUUUCAAGUACAUGUUUUGUGAGACUAUGAGCCGGUUUAGAUUGUAACUUUUGGGAAUUUUUACAGAAAAUAUAAAUCGCAUCUACAAAAAAAAAAUUAAUCAAAGAUAUAAUUGGUGAUUCAUGAGUGGAUAAAAGAAUUGAGUGUUUCCCAAUUGAUAAAGGAUAGAGUUUUUCUUAUGUAGUAGCUGGACUUCUUGCUCGCAUAAUUGUGGCUGUCCAUCUCUUUGAUUUGGAUUCCGAUCUUAUUCAAAUACUUUUGGAGGGGUAUCCUAUAUUUAGAGUGUCAAUCACAAACUUCAUUAUGUUGAUUCGUCCAAAAUCGCUCCCCAAUAACCCGUUCAAACCCACCCACUAAUUUGAAAUAGAUUUAAAUGGAUAUUCAAUUAAACUCAUUUAAUUAAUAGAUAGUAGAUUAACUCGAAUCAUUUAAACUCAAAUAUUAAACAAAUAAUUUGAAUUUAUUAUCAAUCUAAUAACAAUAAGAUGCCAUUAUUUUUUAUCAGACAACAUGUAAAAAAAAUAAAAAAAUAAAUUAUAACCAUUUAAAUUCAUUUAAAUCACUUAUUUUGACACCUCACCACUUGUUCAGCCGUUCCUUUCUUCCAUGCCGUCGCCAGUGUCUGUCAUUUCCGAUUAUCAGGUAAGGCUCUGACAUUAGUGUCCACCUGCCAUCGUGCGAUCCCAUUGAUUAACCAAGUUACAGCGCUGUCAUAUUUGUCAAGCCAUCCUUCAUUAUUGGAUCUUUUAUUCUAUAUAUGGGACCGUCCUUACUGUUCCCAUGAAAGAUUGGUUCAGAAAUGUAUGGCAGCUGUGAAAUACGUUAGCUCUCUGAAUCUUGUCCCAUAAAGAUAUGUAGCUGAAAAUCCGAACGCAUUGGUUUCACGAGAGUUUUCUUAUCCACCGUGCCUGCCAAUUUUCUAUCACCAUAUAACAGCGUUUUUAAACCAUACGGACUGACCGAUUCUAAACAUUGAACCGAGGGUCCGGUGGUUCAGUCCGAGUUAAACAAUUGAGUUGAACAGACAUUUACUGGACCUGCUCAGAAAUUGGGUUUAAAUAAAGAAAAUUGAGUUUUUAACUAUAUAUUUUGUGAGACUAUGAGCUGGUUUAGAUUGUAAUUAUUGGGAAGUUUUAUAGAAAAUAAUUGUAUGGUGUUUCCUAAUUGAUGAAGGAUAUAGUUUUUCUUAUGUAGUGGCUGCACCUCUUGAUCACAUGAUUCUGGUGGUUAUCGAUCUCUUGGAUUUGGAUUCUAAUCUUAUUCAAACAUUUUUUAUUCUUUCAGAUUAUGUCUUUCUUGUGCAUUUCAAUCUUUGUAAUUUAUCAAUUAUUUCUUAGAUUGGAUUUUGAUUCUUUUAGACUAUGUCUUUCUUGUGCAUUUCAAUCUUUACAAUUUAAUAAUUGUUUCUUAGAUUGGAUUUACAUGUUUAGUUCUAAAGUGGUCCCAUGAUCUCGCUUCGAGGUCUUCCAAGUUGUAUUUCUAGUUGAUUUCGGGUAUUUAGGAAUUUCAUAUUUUAUUACACCAUUUUUUAACUCAAUAAAAUCAUAUUUCAACUUUUGUCACACUAUUUUCCAACUCAAUUACAUUAAAAGCAAACUUGUGAGAAAUAAAACUUGUGAUACCCCAUCAACCCCUGCUCCUAUUAAUAUUACACAUGUAGAUUAUAUUUUAAAAGGAAAAUUGCCAAAUUGGUCCCUUAAGUUUUCAGAAAAAAACUUUUUUUAGUCCAUCAAAAUUAGAAUUAGUUAAAAUAGUCCAUCAAAUAUAACGCAAGAAAAGUAUCCUUUUAGUCCGCAAGCUCAUUUUUUGAUCGGUUUUCUAGUCAAAAAGUGUGUGCCUUUCUUAGGCACCCACAAUUUAUUAUGUGCAAUAAUGGUUUCUGGAUAUAGAUUCUUACAUUUCUGAUUGUUGAUCACAUGAUUUGGAUUCUGUAUUCAAAUUGUGAAACUAUUGUUUAGCAAGAUGUGUCAGUAUUGUUUAGCAAGAUAUAAUUGAUCACAAGAUGUGAAACUACCACAUACGACAAUACCCAAUUGUUUAGCAAAUCAAGCAUAAGGUUCAGACAAGUAUCAGGGUAUUAAUAGGUCCUCUAUAUUAUUUAUUUGCAGCUGGUGCCAAAUGACACUACUUAAGACUUGGAGGAAAAAUAUGAUUGCCGAAGAAUCGUUAUCAGAAUCAAAUUGUACCUUAAAUACAACUUUUUUGGAUUCUGUUAAGUUUGCAGCGAGGUGGAGAAGACCUCAAUUACAUACAAGCAAUUAACAGCAGAAGAAACAUAGCUUUAAUAUCUGAUUCUAGUAAUGGUUUCUGGCAAAGAAUACGUUGUCCUUCACGAGUAAUGUUUCUAGAAACAAUCUUUAUAUUUUUAGUGUUUAAAAUAGCUUCAAGAACACGGCAAAAGUAAACUUUGCUUUAUGGACUGAUGAGUAAACACUAUAAGAUGAUGGGUAAACAUCAACACUAUAUGUCUGGAAAGAGAGGAAUUACAUAAUUUUUAGCAACGAGGUUACCAAAAUGCUUCAGCUUAUGCUUCAUGCUAAGCUGCCAUAAAACUUUCCAUCCUUUUGCAUUUGCCUCAUUCCUACUUCCUGAAUCCUCCUGAUGAGACCUCCUCCGAUAAGGAGAAAAUUAGUUGAUUGUAAAGAUUAGGUUCUACAUUGGUCAAAGUCUCAAAGAUAAAGAUGAUAAACUUUGCCACUGGAUAAUGCCUAAUUGGCCGUAACAAAUGAAGUUAAGGUGCUUGAAGGUGACGCACUAGUGAAACCAUGCAUUCCAGGGAUAAGAAUUAAACUUGGAAAUCUGAAAGAUUACUAAAGAAUAAAUAUUAGAAUCAAUAAUAUUAAAAAAAAAAUUUCCAAAUCAAAUCAAAAUUAUUGAAAAUUGACCAAAGCUCAAAUCCAAAUCAAAUAAAUCCUUACACGUUAAACCCACGAGAAACCUGUUAUCAAGAGGUGCAAUUACCACUUGAUAAAACUCCAAUGUAGCUAUCACCUCGUGGAUCACACAUAUAUUGGGUCCUCUUAAUUAUUUUCAGUUGGUACGAAAUCAUUCAGAUAUGAUUUCCGUGACAAAUUUUGAGUGUAACGCAAUAUUCACCUCAACCAAUUGAGACAUUGUCUGAUAACCAUGAAAUUUGACUCUCCAAUUCUUGGGUUUUGCCUCUCUCUUUAUAAGGUGUAGAAUGUGGGUUUUCUUUCGAAUGAACCUGGUUCUAAAGAAUGCUAACUGGUUGACAAUUGCGGAAGUUUUUGUGCAUAUCUGUACCAUGAAGCCAAUCAAAAUGUGAAUGGACUAGACAUAAAGGGCAGUAGUUUAAAAUUUGUAGUGAAAUUAACUUAAUUACCUCAAUGGAAUUGAACUGAAAAAUGCAAUUUUCUAUUCAGACAAAAUUCAUAAGUUCUAAGUUCAUUAAGAAAGAUCAAUGCCUGUCAUAUUAAUGCAAAAUUAUUGAUAACAACAAGAAGGAUACUUUUAGAGAUGAUAUAGUCUAGAGUCCAUGCAUCUAACCCACUCUCUUGACAUAGAUCGGAGUUCAGUGAGCGUUAAACUCAAGUCUAUUGGCCAAAAAAAGGAAAAAAAAAAAAGACUCAAGUCUAUUCAAAAAACCAAAGAUUGGACUCCAAAUCAGUGAUGUCGAAUUGAUUAUCCACGGACGCUAAAACCGCCAGAAACAAGUCAUCAAGAGGUGAAACUACCACAUACGACAAUACCCAAUUGUUUAGCAAAUCAAGGAUAAGGAUCAGACAAGUAUCAGGGUAUUAAUAGUCCUCUAUAUUAUUUAUUUACAGCUGGUACGAAGUCAAUUAAUCAGAGAUACCCACCAAAUGACACAACUUAAGACUUGAAGGAAAAAUAUGAUUGCUGAAGAAUCGUUAUCAGAAUCAAAUCAUUGUGCCUUAAAUACAACUUUUUUGGAUUCGGUUAGGUUUGUGAUAGGGUGUAAAUUGUUGGUUAUUUUAUUGUUAAUUUCCCCUUUUAUCCUUGUCAAAUAUUGUUUUAAUUAUUAAUAUUUACUUAUAUUUGGUAUUGGACCCAAUUUCAGGGAUUGAAGCAGAAAAUUACCAAAAAGGAGGGACUUGUAUGGAAAAAUGCAGACUUCUAAGGACUUCAACCUUUGGGUCCUUGAAUUGGUGGGGACCACAAGCUAGUGCAAGGCAUUUAGUCAUUUGGACUUUUCAAAGAGAGCAACGUAGAGAGAUUUGGAACAACAAGUACUUUGGAGGCUUUGUCCACAUGUGCGGGGACCACGGAUAAGAAGCAUGAGUCAUUUGGACUCUAGGAAAAGAAACGUACAAGACUUUGAAUUUGGUGUGGGGACCACUAGAGAUAGCAUUAGACUUCCUUUUGGCUUUAAAAAGGGAGAAACGUACGGGAGGUUAUCAAUCAAUAGUUUAGUUUAGGUUUUUAGCAUAGUUUUAGUUUUUCUUUUCUUAGCUCUUUCGCAUGGUUGUUCUCCAUUAAUGGAGAACUAACCUCUUAAUUCUAGUCAAGGGGACAACUGAAGAUUUGGUUCAACAAUUACUGUGAGAUCGAAUCUGUUUUAAUUAUUUUCUUCAUUUAUUGGUAUUUAUAUGUUCCUUGAUUUUAAUUGCUAUGGCCUUGUGUAUGAUUGAUUAGUGCGCAAUAAUUAAUUAUUCAUAUAGGCUAUUUUGCUAAAUAGAGGUAAUUGAAUCCGUAAUUGUUCGUUAUCUCUAUCUUAGUAGCAACUGGCGUAAUUGGGUUUAUGUCAGGGGAGCAUACGAUCUAGCUUAAACAAACCCUCGUAGCGUGUUUGUUAGUUAGGAUUGGGCCUUUCUAAUUAAUAAUGCAACCUAAGAAUUAAAUCCUACGGUCGUACUUAGGGUUGUUUUUGGGUUAGAGAAAUAGCUAACGGUCAUACCUUAGCUAUCGAUAAAUUAAUGAAGGGUUGGUUGUUUAUCGCGUGCAUGACAACUAUAACCAAUCUAUUAAUAAAUGUUGGGAUUAUUUUUGCAUCAAUGAUCAGUGCAUGAACCAUUUCUGAAGUAUACCCUUGGCUAAAGUUUCUCUUAGUUAUUUCUUUUAAUUAAUUAUUUUCUGCAGUUAAUUUAUUUAGUUAGCUUUUAAUCCAAAACCCCCCAUACUUUGGACUCUAGAAGAAACGAAUUAUCCCCAGUCUCUGUGGAUUCGACCCUACUCAUCGCUAUAUACAAAAUCUGUAUUUUUCUCGAGUAGGUAUUUAUUAUUGCACAGGUUCGGCACCUGUCAAUUUUUGGCGCCGUUGCCGGGGACUGGUGUCAGAUUAAUUUGUUUCUUUUUUAAGUUCACCUUGUUUUCAUUUUUAACUUAUUUCUCUUAUUUUUUUUAUUAUAUAGUUCAUGGCUUCUAACACUCCGUAUUUUGGUGAUAUACUGGAUUUUGUUUUCGGGGAAGGCAAUGAGACUGAUUGUUUUUCUAAGUUUGCAUAUUUAGAGGCAAUAAACUCUAUUAAAAAAAGAAUGGCUGCUGCAACCUGUGAAAUUUGUUAUGCCAGGGAUCAUUCAACCGGUAUGUGCCCCGAAUAUCAAGAUGAUCUGAGUGUCCCAUUCAAUAAUUAUGGAGAUUUUUCACCCUGGUCUCAAACGUGGUAUAACCCUAAUCCAAACGGGUAUGAUCAAGGAUGGUGGGAUAACUCCAGUUAUGAUUAUACAACAGGGCCAAUGAAUUUUCAGCAGUAUGAGUCUCAAGAACCGUCAUCCAUGUCAGGUAUGUCUCUUGAAGAAAUAGUUGAAUUAAUAGCUACUAGCACAUAUCAAAUUCAACAGGAGGUACAUCAGUUUCAACAGGAGACACAAAAGAUGAGUGAAGAGAUGAAAGAAGGAAGGCGUGAAUGGGCAUCUAAAAUGAGCAAAUUGAUUUCUCCAGUUUAUGAAGAAUUGCCUUCACCGACUAUUAUCGACCAUGAGGAAGAUGAGAGUGCAAUUAUUCUGACAAUUGACAUGGUACUGCAAGGGUCUCAAGAAGAAGAAUCUAAAGAUGCAGUUGAAAAGAAAGUUGAAGCGCAAGAAUUGAGACCCCAACAUCAAAUAGUUCAAGUGAAUGAAUCCAGUGAACAAUCUCCAAAUGCGGUGACAUCUCCUCCAUUCCUUGAUCAAUAUUUUCCUGACUCUUAUUCUUUAAUUCCUGUUGGUGAGAUUGAUUUUAUUAUACCAGAAAAUUUUGAGUUUCAUGACAGGAACAAGUCAAGAGUCACGAUGGCAAAAUAUCUCAAACCAAUAAGUGCUUGUGAUGGAGGGGUGAAUGAAGAUUUAAGGUCAUUACUUGGUUGUUUGGCGCCAUCUACUAGUCCAUGGAAGACCGUAGCUCGUGUGCUCAAAAAUUACUCUACUUACGAGGGCUAUCAAGAUUACAUAGAGGAUGAAGCACUAAAGCGAGCUACGCGAUUUUAUCCUCCAUGAAUAAACAGGACAAUGUCUAGCCAAAGACAUUAAAGAAAGGCGCUACUUGGGAGGCAACCCAAGACUAUUUGUUUCAGUUUUCAUGCAUUUUUGAAGUUUUAGUUAAGUGUUAGUGUCAAUUAAUAGUUUGAUGUUUGGUGGCAGGAAAUUAGCAGUUAGAUGUGCCCACGCCAGGCGGUCACGCCUGAGGGAAAGAAAUUUUCGUUCAGGAUCUGCGGAUUCUAUAGCAGUUAGACGUGCCCACGCCAGGUGGUCACACUUGAGGGAAAGGAAUUUUCGUUCAGGAUCUGCGGACUCUAUAGCAGUUAGACGUGCACGCCUAGGCCAGAGGUUCCUUAUUCUAAAAAAAAAAAAGAGAGAAAAAAAUUUUACAAAAGCAAUUUCAAUUUUUGGAGAAUUUCGGUAAGACUAGUUAAAAAAAAAAACCAUUUUAUUUUAUUUUUCCUCUUUUCUUCUUUCUUUUCUUUCCUUCUUUCUUUCUUCCCUUUUCUUCUUCUUCUCCGCCGCUCCCCUGUUUCCCUCUGUUUCUUCUUUUUCUUUCACGCCGCCUGCCGCUACCACCUCACCCACGCAGCUCGAGUCGCCCAAGCUCCCUUGCGGCCAGGAGUUUCGUAGCACGCAGCUUCACCUCACGGUCCACCGCCAUCUUGCGGCCAAGGCCCGCCGCUGGUCCCCUCUCUUCCAUCGCCAAAUCCACGCUGCACGCCGCCCGUGAGCCAAGCCGACAGCGCGCAGCCCAGCCCGCGCCGCUGCUGCUCUCCACCAGCUUGCCGCCGCCUCUCCCUCAGCUCAAUCCCCCGCCAACAGUCUCCAUCAGCUCGCGACCGCCGCUGCACCGCCACCCUCCACCACGAGCAGCUUCACCUCGCGGCCAGGAGCUGCCACGAGCCCUACAGCGCCGCGCCAGCUUGCAGCGCAGCCCACGUCAAUCGUCCGCCCCCGCUGCUGUCGACCUCCAUCAGCACCACCACCUGAGCCGCACGGGACUCCUGUCUUUGCCGGCCUCUCCUGCAACCGCGCACAUCUCCUCCAUUGCCGCGCGUCACCACCUGCCCAAAAUUGGCAGGUGGAGGUAUUCGAAUUUCCACCUUGAUUAGUAUUUCUCUAGUCCUUAAAUUGCUGGAAUUUGCGUUCUUGUUUCUUGGGCUUCUUGUUGGAAAACAGCAGGCAGUGAUUUUAGACAUUUUCUGGGGCUAAUUUUGGGUAGAAUUGAGUUAAACUGCUGCGAUAUUUGGGGGUACUUUGGGAGUAAGUUGCCAAUUGCUUCUGGCUUUAAUUUCCGCUCAUUUUUGGCACUACUUGGGUGUUCAAAUCUAUUUCGUUUACUAUGUUAGUUAUUUGCUUUAAUUUCUCCCUAUACACUCACCAGUGGUACUGGUGAUAGUAGUUGUUUAACAUCUGAUAAUCUGUGUUCUGGAUUGCCUAAUUAAACGAGUUGUGACUACUGGGCAUUUGUGAUUGAGUCCAUCCUGUGAUUGAGUGUCUGGAUAAAGCAGUGGGUGCUUUAGGCAUUUUCUGGGGGAACUUUUGGGACAGAUUUGGGUUUAAUUGCUGCCAAAGUGGGGGUAUUUUCUGCUAUUUGUUGAAAAGCUGGCCUUUUGAUUACUUUUUCCCUGCGACUCACCAGUGGUACUGGUUGAGGUCUUUUGCCUAUCGUUGUGGCUUAUAUUUGAAGAUAUUUGCUUAUUUUGAAGUUAAGGUUCUUGCAUUUGAGUUGCUGCUAUUGAAUUUAAUUCUUUCCUGUCUGUGCACCAGUGGUACUGGUUGCAGUGUUGCUUUCCAUUUCUUAAUCCUCUGUGCUGGACUGCCUAUUCGAUUCUUGAGUUUUGGUGCCUGAACUGUCUCUCGAUUCUUACCAUUAGUUGCUGGAAUUACUGGUUUCUUGGCCAAAUUGCUAAUUUUGAGCGUUUGACUUGGGUAUUUGACUGUCCAACUGGUGACAUUUAUUGCGCUUCAAUCAAUUGAAUUCAUUUGCUCUGUUGGUAUCCCUGUCGGUAUCACUUGAGUUCUAUUUUGCUAGUUUCUGUCUUGCGUCCUUUGAAGUGCCUUUGGUUGGGUAUUUUCUUCAUUUGUUUGUUGAAUUGGAAGGCUACUGUGCCACUUCCAUUGCUUAUUGCAGUUGGUGGCGUCUAAUUGACUUGCUGGGAGUAUUUUACCUAUUGAUUUCAAUUGCUAAAUCUUUAGAGAAUUUGUUGCGAUUUGCAUUUUGUUGAUUGGGUUGUCUACUAGGAAGGCACCAGUGGCUAUUAAAUUUUUAUUGCUUUGAAUUUGCUAAGUGGCCUCUCCCACCGAUGGCCUCUGAUGCUAAGUGGCGCCACUUGCAAGAUCAGGUUCACCACGCGGAUGAGCAAGUAACGCAUAUCGCCAGCCAGAUGGCUCCAAUGUCUAAGAACCUGGCCGCGUACUUCCACCAUAUCUGCUUCACUCCCCCGUUCCUGCCUAUUCCGUAGCCGCUUGAGAGGGAAGUUUCAUUUUUCUCUUCAUUUUAAUUGCUAUAUUACCUCCAUCGAGGGCAAUGUCGGACUUAGGUGUGGGGGGGACAGCUGUGGUACAGCUAGUAUUUCUAAUUUUUAGUUUUUACAUGUUUUCCUUUAUUUUUGUUAUUUGUUCUAGUUUUCGUUUAUUUUCUUUUCUUUUUUCUAGUGGUCAGUCUUCUAUAACUACCAAGUUUUGAUGCUGGAUUGUUGCCUCUAAUUCUGCUAUUGCCAAGUUUUAUUAAUAAAAGGGUAUUAAGUUAAUGUGGUUGAGCUCAGGAACAUCUCUUUGGUGAAUAUCAAUACUUGCUUAACUUUUCCAAUUUUUGGUUAACUUUUCUAGGCAUAGGGAAUGAUUGUUGGCAUUCUUCAUGUGAAUUGGUCCAAUUAUUAAUUUUAGUUCUCCAUGUUUGAAAUUUGAGGCUGGCUGCUGUUAUUUUUAGUUAUUGUGCUAUAUGAUUGUAAAUAAGAGGUGACUGUACUCCGCUAGUUAUCACUACUGAGUAACCGGGGAUCUUCACCUAAACUGUCGAUUCUCGCGUCAAAAGGUAGUAAUUGCUAUGAGUGCGUGGUCCUGUAGCGAUUAGAGCUGAAUAACCGGGCUCCUCCAUCUGUCAAAUGUUGGAGUUCGCGUCAAAAGGCUCUAAGGGCUAUAGACUAAGUCUUUUGCUAUUCAAAAAACAAAAAACAAAAAACAAAAAACAAAAAACAAAAAAAGAAGUGAAGUAAAGAUUGUGUUAGUAUGUGAAUAAAUCAGCUUGCCGGUUUGUGAUCUUAAUGUCGAGAUUUUGGUUAAUAGUUGGACCAUUUGCUGAUAAAUGUGAGCAACCAUUCCUUCUUCUUAGAUUAGUUUGCUUUAAAUUGGAGAAGUUGGUGGUUUAGAGGCUAACCGGGUUGAUUUUUCUUGGAUAUUGACCUGUGAUGCUUGAUAUUUAUUUUUCUUGGGCAUCUUGGCAAUACGGUAGUUGGAGCAGUAGCCAUUGUCAAAUUUUGGUGUUCAAUUGCUGUUCCCAUGCUUGAGGGCAAGCAUGAUUCAGGUGUGGGGGGAAUUGAUAGGGUGUAAAUUGUUGGUUAUUUUAUUGUUAAUUUCCCCUUUUAUCCUUGCCAAAUAUUGUUUUAAUUAUUAAUAUUUACUUAUAUUUGGUAUUGGACCCAAUUUCAGGGAUUGAAGCAGAAAAUUACCAAAAAGGAGGGACUUGUAUGGAAAAAUGCAGACUUCUAAGGACUUCAACCUUUGGGUCCUUGAAUUGGUGGGGACCACAAGCUAGUGCAAGGCAUUUAGUCAUUUGGGCUUUUCAAAGAGAGCAACGUAGAGAGAUUUGGAACAACAAGUACUUUGGAGGCUUUGUCCACAUGUGCGGGGACCACGGAUAAGAAGCAUGAGUCAUUUGGACUCUAGGAAAAGAAACGUACAAGACUUUGAAUUUGGUGUGGGGACCACUAGAGAUAGCAUUAGACUUCCUUUUGGCUUUAAAAAGGGAGAAACGUACGGGAGGUUAUCAAUCAAUAGUUUAGUUUAGGUUUUUAGCAUAGUUUUAGUUUUUCUUUUCUUAGCUCUUUCGCAUGGUUGUUCUCCAUUAAUGGAGAACUAACCUCUUAAUUCUAGUCAAGGGGACAACUGAAGAUUUGGUUCAACAAUUACUGUGAGAUCGAAUCUGUUUUAAUUAUUUUCUUCAUUUAUUGGUAUUUAUAUGUUCCUUGAUUUUAAUUGUUAUGGCCUUGUGUAUGAUUGAUUAGUGCGCAAUAAUUAAUUAUUCAUAUAGGCUAUUUUGCUAAAUAGAGGUAAUUGAAUCCGUAAUUGUUCGUUAUCUCUAUCUUAGUAGCAACUGGCGUAAUUGGGUUUAUGUCAGGGGAGCAUACGAUCUAGCUUAAACAAACCCUCGUAGCGUGUUUGUUAGUUAGGAUUGGGCCUUUCUAAUUAAUAAUGCAACCUAAGAAUUAAAUCCUACGGUCGUACUUAGGGUUGUUUUUGGGUUAGAGAAAUAGCUAACGGUCGUACCUUAGCUAUCGAUAAAUUAAUGAAGGGUUGGUUGUUUAUCGCGUGCAUGACAACUAUAACCAAUCUAUUAAUAAAUGUUGGGAUUAUUUUUGCAUCAAUGAUCAGUGCAUGAACCAUUUCUGAAGUAUAUCCUUGGCUAGAGUUUCUCUUAGUUAUUUCUUUUAAUUAAUUAUUUUCUGCAGUUAAUUUAUUUAGUUAGCUUUUAAUCCAAAACCCCCCAUACUUUGGACUCUAGAAGAAACGAAUUAUCCCCAAUCUCUGUGGAUUCGACCCUACUCACCGCUAUAUACAAAAUCUGUAUUUUUCUCGAAUAGGUAUUUAUUAUUGCACGGGUUCGGCACCUGUCAGUUUGCAUCGAGGUGGAGAAGAUCUCAAUUACAUACAAGCAAUUAACAGCAGAAGAAACAUAGCUUUAAUAUCUGAUUCUAGUAAUGGUUUCUGGCAAAGAAUACGUUGUCCUUCACGAGUAAUGUUUCUAGAAACAAUCUUCAUAUUUUUUGUGUUUAAAAUAACUUGAAGAAUACGGCAAAAGUAAACUUUGGUUUGUGGACUGAUGAGUAAACACUAUGAAAUGAUGAGUAAAUAUCAACACUAUAUGUCUGGAAAGAGAGGAAUUACAUUUUUUUAGCAACAAGGUUACUAAAAUUGGGGGUUAUUAUAACUUUAUCCCUUUAAACUAUAGUGCUAAUAUCAAUUUACCUUUUUAACAUUAUUUUGCAGGCAUUUGACCUCGCAGUUAUUCUCCUUUUUCAUUCUAAGAGGACCAAGAAAAAAUGCAAAAGGGUUCCCUUUUUUUUUCAUUCUCAACUAUUAAGAAAAAAAAAGAAAUUGAAUAGAGGUUGACAGAAAACUCAAUUUCAGAAAAAAGGAAAAUAAAGAAGAAUCCAAUAUUAUAAUUAAUUUAAAAUAAGUUAGAGUGGGCGGUAGGGGUGAAGAGUAAGUAGCAAUUUUAAAAUAAUAAGCACAUUGGAUUCUUUAUUAUUUUUAUUUUCUUUUUUUAAAAUUGAGUUAUCUCUCUAUUUUCUUAUUUUAAGUAUUGAUAAGUACACGAGGAAAAAAAGAAGAAGACAUUUUUUUUUGACUUUUUCCCCUUGUUAUUAAAGAGGGUGGAAAAAAGGGAGAAGACACUUUUUUAUUUUUUUUCUUGGUAUUAAAAGGGUGAAAAAGGGGGAAAAAACCAUUCCAAUUUUUUUUUAUUUUUAAUCAUACAGGAGAGGGAUGUAUUUCUUCUAAAAUAUUAGGUAAAUUAUAUAUAAUUUUCUGUAUUUUCAUCUAUUGCCACAUGAUCUCCAAAACAUUUUAGGGUUAUAUGCAGCUGAUGUAAGGGAAAAAAUUCAUAUUAAUACCUCAAAUUUCCCUUAAGGAGUUUUUAUAUUUAAAUCAAAUUAUUCAAUGAAUAUAUUUUUGUUUUUCUCCUAGUCUUAAAGAGUCUUGCCACAGGCCUAAAUCAUUUCCGCUAUAUUGCUUUGGCCAAAUUUACAAUCGUAUAUUUGUGUUUGUAGCCGUUGAUUGAACUUUGGUCUUAGGAAAAAUGAUAACAAAUGGAAAGAGUGAGAUACAAGUCAAUUAAAAAACAUGAUUAACACUAGAAUUUGUGAGACAUGGAGACUUGGAUUAUAAAAAGGAUAAGAAAACUUGAAUAGGUGAAAAAGGGUGGAUUAAAACUAUACGAAAGAAGUAGCAUAACAGUGAUAUAGCAUUUGGUGAUGGGAAGAUUCUUGGUGAUGUGUUUUUUAAGUUUGAUAGGCAUUUUAUUACUUUUGGGAAGAUUAUUAUAAUCAUUUUGAGUCCUUAACAAAAGCACGGAAGUGUAAUAUUUGAAUAUAGAGGUGGGCAACAUGAGAUUAUUAGAAAUCUUAGAAGAAGUUUUUGAAAAUAUCCUUUGCUGUAAUACUAUUCUUUUUUUUUUUCCUACCUUGUGAUUAUUGAUUUCCACAUUCACACUCAAAAUGCUAAGGCAAAAAGCAAAAUUCAAGGAUGAAAAAUGAAAGAAAAAGAGACAAGGUUAUAAACAUGGGGAAAGACUCUAGAUUUGAUUAAUGCUAAAAUAUUAUAAAAUGAUUAUAGCAUUUCUUUUUCAUUUUUUAUGAGUGACACUUUUUUAAAAAAAAAAAUUUAGUAGGGGAAUGAUGGGAUUUAAAAAGCGAAAAAAGAAUAGGGAGAUCAAAAUUCAGGAUCUCUAAUUCCUGGGAGUAACAUGAUAAUAUUAUUUCUAAAAACCCAAAAUCAAAUCCUAUUGGUGUAAUAUAAAGGAAUUCGGAUGAUCGAACUGUUUAAAACAUAAAAUACUUCUUAAUUAUAAUAUCUUAUUCAGGAUAAGAAAACUUGAAUAGGUGAAAAAAGGUGGAUUAAAACUAUACGAAAGAAGUAGCAUAACAGUGAUAUAGCAUUUGGUGAUGGGAAGAUUCUUGGUGAUGUGUUUUUUAAGUUUGAUAGGCAUUUUAUUAUAAUCAUUUUGAGUCCUUAAAAAAAGCAUGGAAGUGUAAUAUUUGAAUAUAGAGGUGGGCAACAUGAGAUUAUUAGAAAUCUUAGAAGAAGUUUUUGAAAAUAUCCUUUGCUAUAAUACUAUUCUUUUUUUUUUCCUACCUUGUGAUUAUUGAUUUCCACAUUCACACUCGAAAUGCUAAGGCAAAAAGCAAAAUUCAAGGAUGAAAAAUGAAAGAAAAAGAGACAAGGUUGUAAACAUGGGGAAAGACUCUAGAUUUGAUUAAUGCUAAAAUAUUAUAAAAUGAUUAUAGCAUUUCUUUUUCAUUUUUUAUGAGUGACACUUUUUUUAAAAAAAAUGUAGUAGGGGAAUGAUGGGAUUUAAAAAGCGAAAAGAGAACAGGGAGAUCAAAAUUCAGAAUCUCUAAUUCCUGGGAGUAACAUGAUAAUAUUAUUUCUAAAAACCCAAAAUCAAAUCCUAUUGGUUUAGUAAUAUAAAGGAAUUUGGAUGAUUGAAGUGUUUAAAACAUAAAAUACUUCUUAAUUAUAAUAUCUAAUUCAUUAGUCGAAUGUGGAAUCUUAUGUUUGUUGCCCCUUUCUUUUUUGCUUUGGAUUUGGGUUUUUGGCGUUGAAUUUUGAGUAUGAAUUGAGUAAGAUUUUUUUUUUUUUUUUUAAGAAUUAAUCUUUUUUUUUUAAAUUAUUUAUUUUAUUGAUAGGAGCAAAUUUUACACACUGAGAAAGACCAAUUCGAAGUACAGCAAUCGACUGAAAAGGUAAUAAAUCAAACACAAAACCUCCAUGUCUCGUUGCAUAUUAGCUCCAGUUGUCCUUUGUUCUGCCCUUCAUACGCUUAUUUUUCCGAAUUGAAGGCAUUCCUAAUCUAUCAAGUCGAAUGGCCCCACGAGCCAUAGUUGGGAACCAAUUAAAGGCCUCGUAAAGCUUGACUUGAAUUGAGUAAGAUUAUAGCAUGAGAAGGUUCAUCAUGUUCAUUUAAUUAAGGUCUUCCUGCAUUUAAAAUGGGAGCUUACAUGACAUAAAAAAAGAUUAAAAUGGUAAUACUUUACAAAAGAGCAUCAUAGUGGGAACAUUUUUCCUAAAAAAGGUCACUUCAGAACUAAAUUCCGUGAAUCCCUGGUUUCAUGUGGGUUUUCUUUUCAUGGACGUACGUGAUUAACAUCAUGUCUCUUAUCAUUUCGAUGAGGAUUAUUAACAUCCAAGUCCUAGAGCCUGAUUGCAUUAGUACUAUCCUUGGCCUUGGGUAUAAUAUCACAAGUUCCUCCCUGUAAAUGUUGCAAUGCGUUUUAAGAGAGUGAGAAUUAAGUAUAUCACGGGGAAAAAAAAAAUUAAUGGCAAAGUAACUUACCAGAACAACCAACAGAUGGAGGAGGAUAAUCCAACAAGCAAGUCCUUUGGAAUCCAUCAAUUGGUAGGUUUUAUAUCCCUUGCAACUCCUCCUUUGAAGGAUUAGGCAACAGCAGAAGCAAAUGCCAAAUAUUACAUAUGGAUGAAAAGUGUGCUUGAUUAGAAGGUUCUUUUUCAAAUAGUCGAUUAAAUUAUGACCCCUUGAAAGAUAGUGUUUCUUAUUGAGGUUGAAAAAUGAACCAAAUUACUUGAUACUCAAAUCAGAUUUGGCUAAAUAAAAGUUUGUUUGAACUUAAUUUGCCAACUAAUCAAAUCAAAAUUUAAGAAGUAUUAUUAUGUGUUAGAUUAACUAUCAAAUUUGGCAUUAACUUGGCUUGAUAAACAUAAAAUUAGAAUUUACAAGUAAAAAAUUCAAAUUACUCAAGUUCGACUCAUGCUCGAUUCUAUAAAAAAGCUCAUUUGAGUUUGCCUUAAUUAAUAAACAAGUCAAGUUUGAAGACCUUCCUCUUAAAAAAAUUUUAAAAAAAUCAAGUUUGAGUACAGUUUCAAGUUUAUUAAAUAAUCUAACAAGUUUGAAUACUACAACAUUGAAUCUAGUAGAUCUAGACAAAAUCACUAAAUUUAUUUUAGACCACAACUGUAGAUUGUUUAGAAAACAAGGACCAAAAUGUAGACCUACCCACAUGAUGCAAACCAACCAGCCACGUGAUCCAUGUUGUAACCUUGCUAGCUUCACUUAGCUAUCGCCUUGUAUAAAUAGCCGUAUAGCCCCCAAGAGUCUUUUCACCACCAAAGUUACAUUUUGAGUCUGUUCAUAGGCAAGGCAUGGCUUCAUCUAUCACUCUGAUCGCAGUCUUUUCAAUUGCCCUGGUAAGGUUUCUCAACCAUCAAUACUGUACUUGAAGUAGUAGUUCAUAUGAGAUAAUUGCUAGACUGUAUAGGAAUACUGAUGAAACCCGUGAAUUAAAGCUACCUGAGAAAACACAUUCUUCUUCCUUUUUGCACAUUUAUCUGCAGCUCUAACCAUCGCCACUGAAGGAAUGGAAGCUCUUCAGAUGGUUCUGUAGUUCUAUUCUCAUAAAAGCUUGACUUCCAAACAUUACCAAUGCUGGUACCAUACUUAAACGUCAAUGUAACUUGAGUAAUGGCAUAUGACACUAUUUACCAUUUUUUAGUUAGAGGAUUCAUCCGGGAAAGAUUGAAAGUCAAAUCAAGAACCUUAAAAUCAACAUAAGGAAUAUUCCUGUUGCCAGUUGAGCUCGUAUUUGGAAAUUAACUAUCCUUCCCUACUAGGGGUCAUCUUUUACGGUGCUACCAUCAACGUACCUAUAUUGACGUUAGUUUCUUUUAUGUUAAUAUUUGCACAAAUGUGCAGUUUGCAUGCAUCACGGAAGCAAGGAAGAAUCCUACGGACUUUUUGCAAUCUGCUGUCAUUAACGAGCAUACUGAGGACAAUCACCAUGCAGAGUCGUCCCUUUCCAAUCAGAAGAAGACAAGUAAUGGUAACACAUUGAAGGAUUUCGAGUCGAAACCCGGCUCCUUUCUCUGGGGGUAUCAAGGCAACGACGCUGAGUCUAAGUCUAAGGAGGAGAAGCCUCUUAUGAAAGGCUUUGAGUCAAAGCCCGGCUCCUUUCUUUGGGGGUAUCAGGGCAACGACGCUGAAUCUAAGUCUAAGGAGGAGAAGCCUCUUAUGAAAGGCUUUGAGUCGAAGCCCGGCUCCUUUCUCUGGGGAUAUCAAGGCAACGACGUUGAGUCUAAGUCUAAGGAGGAGAAGCCUCUUACGAAAGACUUUGAGUCAAAGCCCGGCUCCUUUCUCUGGGGGUAUCAAGGUCCUCUUAUGAAAGACUUUGAGUCGAAGCCUGGCUCCUUUCUCUGGGGGUAUCAAGGCAACGACGCUGAGUCUAAGUCUAAGGAGGAGAAGCCUCUUAUGAAAGACUUUGAGUCGAAGCCCGGCUCCUUUCUCUGGGGGUAUCAAGGCAACGAUGCUGAGUCUAAGUCUAAGGAGAAGAAGCCUCUUAUGAAAGACUUUGAGUCGAAGCCCAGCUCCUUUCUCUGGGGGUAUCAAGGCCCUCUUAUGAAAGACUUUGAGUCAAAGCCCGGCUCCUUUCUCUGGGGGUAUCAAGGCAACCACGCUGAGUCUAAGUCUAAGAAGGAGAAGCCUCUUAUGAAAGACUUUGAGUCGAAGCCCGGCUCCUUUCUCUGGGGGUAUCAAGGCAACCACGCUGAGUAUAAGGAGAAGAAACCACUCGUGAAAGAUAAUUAAUGUCCAGGGAAGCCGCAACUUUACCUCUGAAUGAGCUACGGACAUAUAUGUCUUCUGGCUGGUCUGAUUUUCUCCAUUUUCUUUAUUGGCAUGAAAAUGUGUGAUAUGUAAUAAAUGCAGUUCUUCUUUCAACCAAGCGUUCCGUAU